rnacentral:rRNA from 1 species
GUCCUUUUGUUUAUUAAUUUAAGGUUUAGCCUGCCCAAUGAGGAAUUGAAUGGCCGCAGUAUAUUAACUGUGCUAAGGUAGCGUAAUCAUUUGUCUUUUAAUUGAGGGCUGGAAUGAAGGGUUGGACGAGGUAUUAGCUUUCUUUUAUUCAGUUUGAAGAAUUUAAUUUUGAGUUAAAAAGCUUAAAUCUAUUUAUGGGACGAGAAGACCCUAUAGAUCUUUAUAGUUUUGUAUUUUAAUAAUUUGGGGAUUUAUAUAUUUAAGGUAAAUGAACUAUUUUGUUGGGGUGACUGUGGAAUUUAAGUAACUUCUAUUGUGUAUUCUCAUUAAUUAGUGUUUUUUUGAUCCAUAAUUUGUGAUUAGAAGAUUAAGUUACCUUAGGGAUAACAGCGUAAUUUCCUCGGAGAGUUCAUAUUGAUGAGGGGGUUUGCGACCUCGAUGUUGGAUUAAAAUGAGUUAUGGAUGCAGGAGUCUAUUUACUAGGUCUGUUCGACCUUUAAAUUUUU